rnacentral:rRNA from 1 species
UACGGGGGGGCAAGCGUUGUUCGGAAUUACUGGGCGUAAAGGGUUCGUAGGUGGCCCGCUAAGUCACACGUGAAAUCCCUCAGCUUAACUGGGGAACUGCGUGUGAGACUGGCAGGCUUGAGUGCAGGAGAGGAACGCGGAAUUCCAGGUGUAGCGGUGAAAUGCGUAGAUAUCUGGAGGAACACCGGUGGCGAAGGCGGCGUUCUGGACUGUAUCUGACACUGAGGAACGAAAGCCAGGGGAGCAAACGGG